GAAUUCAACUCCUACGGGAGGCAGCAGUGGGGAAUUUUGGACAAUGGGGGCAACCCUGAUGCAGCGACGCCGCGUGAUUUAGAAGGCCUUCGGGUUGUAAAAUCUUUUGUAUAGGAAGAAAAUGACAGUACUAUACGAAUAAGGUCCGGCUAAUUACGUGCCAGCAGCCGCGGUAAUACGUAAGGACCGAGCGUUGUCCGGAAUCAUUGGGCGUAAAGGGUACGUAGGCGGGUCAUUAAGUUAGAAGUCAAAGGCUAUAGCUCAACUAUAGUAAGCUUCUAAAACUGGAGACCUUGAGUAAUGGAAGGGAAAGUGGAAUUCCUAGUGUAGCGGUGGAAUGCGCAGAUAUUAGGAGGAAUACCGGUGGCGAAGGCGACUUUCUGGCCAUUAACUGACGCUGAGGUACGAAAGCGUGGGUAGCAAACAGGAUUAGAUACCCUAGUAGUCCAGGCGUU
rnacentral:rRNA from 1 species